UAGGGAAUCUUCGACAAUGGACGGAAGUCUGACCGAGCAACGCCGCGUGAGUGAAGAAGGUUUUCGGAUCGUAAAGCUCUGUUGUAAGAGAAGAACGAGUGUGAGAGUGGAAAGUUCACACUGUGACGGUAACUUACCAGAAAGGGACGGCUAACUACGUGCCAGCAGCCGCGGUAAUACGUAGGUCCCGAGCGUUAUCCGGAUUUAUUGGGCGUAAAGCGAGCGCAGGCGGUUAGAUAAGUCUGAAGUUAAAGGCUGUGGCUUAACCAUAGUACGCUUUGGAAACUGUUUAACUUGAGUGCAGAAGGGGAGAGUGGAAUUCCAUGUGUAGCGGUGAAAUGCGUAGAUAUAUGGAGGAACACCGGUGGCGAAAGCGGCUCUCUGGUCUGUAACUGACGCUGAGGCUCGAAAGCGUGGGGAGCAAACAGGAUUAGAUACCCUGGUAGUCCACGCCGUAAACGAUGAGUGCUAGGUGUUGGGUCCUUUCCGGGACUCAGUGCCGCAGCUAACGCAUUAAGCACUCCGCCUGGGGAGUACGACCGCAAGGUU
rnacentral:rRNA from 1 species